CGUUCCCGGACCUUGUACACGCCGCCCGUCAAGCCAUGGAAGUUGGGAGGACCUGAAGACAGUUGCUGCAAGGCGCUGUUUAGGGUUAAACCGAUGACUGGGGCU
rnacentral:rRNA from 1 species